GUUGCUUUAGGAAACAAAAUACCCUUCUAAAUCUUUGGGAUAAAAGUGCUGUGUGAACUGCAUUCAGUCAUUGAGAGGGAGAGGGAAAAUUAUGUGAUAAUGGAGUUUGCCAACUUGUGAGCACAUAUGCAGAUAGAAGACAAGGUAACUGGGAAGAAAAAUGCGGUGGACAUGGGGAAAAAGUACACCCUUGUUUGUGAAAUGACAUGCUGUUCCUCAGAAAAAUGGCCUUUAAUCAGUUGCUACAUUUUUCUACCUUUCCUCAUUUUAACUGCCAUCAUUGGUCUUAAAUGGAACAAAAUGAAGGGAUUUUGACACUGAGCAAAAAGUGUAAGUGGAAGAAGACAGCAGUAGUAGCAGCAACAGUAACAGCAGUAGUGACAGCAACCAGUCAUAGAGUAACUACAUGAUAACAUCAAAAGCCAUAAGAUAGAGAAAGGAUAUUACCAAGAAACUUACCAUUAACUGGCUUGAUUCAACAAUGAAAACAAAAAUCGCCUUUUUUCUCCUUUCAUUAUGGCUUAAAGCUUUCAAUUGCACAAACAAAAUAAAUUAUAUGACAGGAAGUA
rnacentral:lncRNA from 1 species